UACGUAGGGUGCAAGCGUUGUCCGGAAUUAUUGGGCGUAAAGAGCUCGUAGGCGGUUUGUCGCGUCUGCUGUGAAAACUCAGGGCUUAACUCUGAGCUUGCAGUGGGUACGGGCAGACUAGAGUGCGGUAGGGGAGACUGGAAUUCCUGGUGUAGCGGUGGAAUGCGCAGAUAUCAGGAGGAACACCGGUGGCGAAGGCGGGUCUCUGGGCAGUAACUGACGCUGGAGGAGCGAAAGCGUGAGGAGCGAAACAGG
rnacentral:rRNA from 1 species